ensembl:lncRNA
AGAAAAUGAAGACCAAACAUGAAAGAAGACACAUCUCACCAAGAGAAGUGAUUUACAAUCAAGGGAGCAUAGUGCACUAUAAAUUGUGACAGCAGGAUAGAAAUAAAAACGUAAGGGUUUGUUAUAAGGAAUGUAGCAAAGAAACUGAAGCAUAGGCCUGGGAAGGUUCUGAGACUCUUCAUCUUUCAUCUCUACUCCUCCAUAUGGAUUGGUUGUCCUGUCCUGUUUCCAUGGACUUCUUCCUCUCCAUCCUCUACAGAUUCAUAGUGAAGACAGCUGCCUUACAGUUCUUAUAUUUAAUCGCCCUCCUCACCACCUGCGGAACAGAAGACAAAUGAUGCACCUUCACUCCAGCAUACUUAGAGGCAUUAUGAAUAAAGAGUCUACUAAGAAGGUUUAUCACGCCUCCCAGAAAAGUCAGCACACUACAAAUGCAGUGCAGUUUAUGGACUAUGAAUAGGAAACACUCUGAAAUUAAGUGAUAUAAACAAGCCAUACUUUAAACAAGAUGCUCUAAGCAUGCUAUACUAAAUGUAUACCAGUAUUUAUACUGAUCCAUUUAUUAACAUCCUGUGUGCUCAUCUUUCCACACUUACAUAAUUUACCAACAUUUGGUUUCAGUGAGGUCGCACAGUCCAUUAACUAUAUUUCUCAUUACUUUUCAUCAGCCAAUAAUAUUACCAUAGUCGUAAUACUUCCUGUACAUAGGUGAACUUUUCUUACAGCCCAUUUCUAUUUAAAGUUAUAACCACAACAAUUCAUGUGCAGACAGUUGUUGGAGCAGAAUUUCAUUUAAUUAUGUAAUUCUAAGUAGCUGAAGUAUAGUCAAGGUUCAUAAAAGGGAAAAUAAUCAGAGCAAGAAUAACCCAUCAGUGGUGGGUGUAAGAAUAAGGCAAUUAAGAUACUUGGCCCCUUCUGUGUGUAGAAGGCUGGAACACAUCUCUUCAUUUCUCGUUCCCCUGGUAUUUCCUCCUGUCAUAGACAGAAGGGCAAUUUAUUUCCCCUUACAUGGUGAGAAAGGUGAAGAAAUAAAGAAUGCAAAGGGCUGGGGAUUUAGCUCAGUGGUGCCGCUGCCUGCCUCGAAAGCACAGGGUCCUGAGUUUGAUCCCCAGUACCCCCCAAAAAGAAUGCAAUUUUAAAAUAGAUAUAAUAAAAGCCUUGCUACCUUCCUUGCUAAGGGUUAUGAAGUUCUGGUGAGGAACAUUUGAAAUUCCCUUGUAAACUGUAAAGGGAAAACCUUCUUCUGUGGCAGCCUUGCUUAAAAUCUGGCAGUGUCUUCCCUAGGACUUCAGGAUGAAGUUCAGAAUCUGUGUAUGCCUCAGUGAUCCUCCCUGACCUCAGCUCACACCUGCAGACAUCUCCUAUCUCUCAGUCACCUCCAGUGUUCCACAUACAUGACAAGCUUCCAUUCAUGCUCAUCCUUCUCUUUGUACCCUUACUUCUCUGUCCCUUACAUCUGUGUAGGUAUUCCUCCUCCAUGUCCCCUUCGAAACACAUGCUUUCUCUCAAGCAACACUUCCCAGCAGCAGCACCGUGGGCAUUCUGGACAGGACAGGAUUUUUUUUUUAAUUGAGGAGGGUUGGCAGGGCACUAUAGAGUGUUUAGCAGCAUCAGUGACCUCUAUCCACUAGAUGCCAGUAGCAGGCCCCUCAUUUUGACAACCACUUUCCCCAGAAACAAAUUGCAUUUGCUGAGAACCACUGCUCUAAGGUACAGCUUAUACUGGAACCAGUUGUAGUCUAACUAUAGCCAGAUGCUCACAAAAUGUACACACAAAUAAAAAUGCAGCUUUCUUUGUUAGUAGAGGACUGAUCUUGCUUUCAAGCCACCAAGCCACCAUCACACUGGUGAGAGAAAAUAUUUGAUCUGGCUAAUUGAAAGUAUCCUAUUCUUUUCUGGUUUAAAACCUUUUAUUGCAUGAAAAGUGAAGCAUUCCCCUCUGAAGUUUGAUUUCAUGUUUACUCAUAAACAGCAGCUGCUCUCAAAAGUUGUUCACUUAAUCCCUGGUACCAAAAAAAAAAAUUGUUCACUUUUCCUUGGCCUGGUGGCACAUGCCUGUAAUCCCAGCACUUAGAAGGCUGAAGCAGGAGGAUUGCUGUAAAUUCAAGGCCAGUCUGAACUACAUAGUGAGACCCUGUCUCAAAAAACAAACAAACAAAAGUUGUCCACUUCUGAGUAAUUGUGAGUUUGCCUCAGAGCACACAAAUGCUCUAAAGGGCUUUUUGUUUUAUGUCGUAGGAGAAGUGGGCAGAAUGAGCUGGAUGCUCAGAAGUUUGCAAGUUAAGCCAUGGAGCAGAAGCAGGGAGGGGACACUACAUCUGGUCUUCUCUCUGCCUAGAUCUAUUUCCAACUUAAAGUCUAAGCAGGGUGUUUUCAUUCAGCACCUUUCAAAGGACACUUGGAGUUUACCUAGCAUUUCCCCAGAGAUGACAGGAACAAAAUCCUACACGUCAAGAUCUCCCCAGAACUUUCCAGGUUAUUGAAGGUCUCUCUCCCUCCCUCAACUCUGGAAUGGAAGAAUGUGGAGGUAAACAAGCCCAGGAGACAGAGGAGAAGACACAGACACAAGGGAGUUCAAGAGAACACAGAGGCAGAGAUUGGAGUGAUCCAGGCACAAACCAAGGAAGCUGACAGAGGCAAAGGACAGAAUCUCCUCUAGGACUUCCAGAGGGAGCAUGGACAUUCUGUGAACAACUUGAUUUCUGAUGUUUAGCCUUCAGAACAUAAGGGAAUAAAUUUAUGUUGCUGUAAGCCACCCAGUUUGUGGUCACUUGUUACUGCAGUCCUAGGAAACCAAUACCCUAUCCCAUAUACUAGCCUUCAUGGUGAUCUGCUACUCAUCUUUCACAUCCAGCUCAAGUAUGACAUUCUCUGUGAAGACUUCCUGAUGCUCCUAGGCAGAGGGAAUGCCCUCUCCGCUCUUACCUUGUGCAGGGUUUUUCACAGCGUCUAUCACAUUUGCC